rnacentral:rRNA from 1 species
AGUGAACGCUGGCGGCGUGCCUAAUACAUGCAAGUCGAACGGAGUGGCUCACGGGUGAGUAAUUUAUAGCUAAUCUGCCCUACACUAGAGGACAACAGUUGGAAACAGCUGCUAAUACUCUAUAGUGUAGGUUGAGACUAUAUUGUAUCAGCUAGUUGGUGAGGUAAUGGCUCACCAAGGCUAUGACGCAUAACUGGUCUGCGAGGAUGAUCAGUCACACUGGAACUGAGACGCCGUGCGGACUCCUACGGAAGGCAGCAGAAGGGAAUAUUGCUCAACGGGGGGAACCCUGAAGCAGCAACGCCUCGUGGAGGAUGACACUUUGCGGAGCGUAAACUCCUUUUGUUAGGGAAGCGGUACCUAACGAAUAAGCACCGGCUAACUCCGUGCCAGCAGCCGCGGUAAUUC